CCUACGGGGUGGCAGCAGUAGGGAAUUUUCGGCAAUGGGGGGAACCCUGACCGAGCAACGCCGCGUGAACGAAGCAGUUAUUUGGAAUGUAAAGUUCUUUUAACAGGGAAGAAAGAGAAACUUGACGGCACCUGAAGAAUAUGCCCCCGCUAACUACGUGCCAGCAGUCGCGGUAAUCAGUAGGGAGCGAGCGUUAUCCGGAAUGAUUGGGCGUAAAGGGUGCGUAGAUGGAAUAGUAAGUCUGUGGUAAAAAUGCUGGGCUCAACCCAGUAGGGCAAAAGAUACUGGGAAGCUAGAGUAUGACAGAAGCAAGUGGAACUAGAUGUGUAGCGGUAAAAUGCGUAAAUAUAUGGAAGAACGCCAGUGGCGAAGGCAGCUUGCUGGGUCGAUACUGACAUUGAGGCACGAAAGCGUGGGGAGCGAACAGGAUUAGAUACCCCAGUAGUC
rnacentral:rRNA from 1 species